GUCCCUCCCAGGCUCGGGUCCGCGGCUGUCCCGCCAGGUGGAGCAGCCUGUGUAGGAGGUCAGGUUCCCACGGGAGCGAGCUGAAAGGGCGCAGGAGCACUGGGGCGCAACGGGAACAAAACCGAAGGGGGCAUGCGCAAGACUGCAGAGGGAUGUCAAAAGGACCCCGACAUGAUAUUGCUGAUAUGCAAGAUGUCUUCUGGUGUGGUGGCUCUGCCAGGAAGAAUUUGAUCUCCUCAUCCUUGAAAAGCAGAGGCAGAACCAGAUGCAUCCCUGACCCCAGAGGAAUUUUCUUUCUGCAUCCAUAGUAGGCAAGGUGGCCAGUUAUCACCCUCCUUGUGCUGUAGACCAGGAUUCUAUGGGGGCGGGGGUGGGGGCCACAUGUUCUAAGAGAGCCAUCUCUUGGGACAGGUGUGCACAUUGUAGUGUAUCAAUGAAAAGCUUCUUCUUGGCUCCCUAAAUCCAUCAGAAACCACCAAAAUGGCCUUCAUUACAUACCCACCCAUUCUAGUGCAACAUGAUUUGAGGGCAGAGACAGUAGGAAAACCUCUUGAGAAGUUGACAGACACCUUCCUUCAACAUUGGGCCUUUAUCUGCUUCAACCCCAUUUCUUUGGUCGCCAAGUAUCUACUUGGGUACUUACUAUGUGCCAGGCACAGUUUUGGUCCUGUGGACACAGUGACAAACCAGACAGACCCAGUGCCAGCACUAUAGAUAUCAUAAUUUGUGAGGAAGCUAUUCACAAAAUAACCACAUAUUUUAAAAUGAUUUAAUAUGCAAUCACUCUCCUAAUCUCUCCUGACACCUUGGCUCCUGGCACAGCCUCAGUUGCUAUGACUAUUUUAAGAGGUUAUGUUUCAAAUCCUUCAUGUCUGAGUCCAUUUAUGUCACCUGCAUCAUAUCCAAAAGGUUGGUCUGCUUUGAGGGCACCAGUAGCUCUGGGGAACGUCUUCAGGGCCACACAUCAGCAGAUGCUCCCCAUACCUCCCGCCCUCACAGCACUGAAGGCCCUACCCUACGUUGUCUUGUACAACCUGUAAUAAUCAUUCCUGAUAUUCUGUAGUUGAUGAUGCAGCAUCUUGAAAUUAAGAACAAAUUAACCACCAAAGUUGCUUACAUCUCCCUAUGUGGUCUGACUUUCACAGGUGCUUGAAAAUCAUAUUAUGAACCCUUCAAACACAAGUCCCCAAACUGUGUCUUGCUUCCUAUCUGAUAGGGGAUGUCUCCACCUAAAAACUUCCCACCACUGUAGUAAUACAGGCUUUCUGCCCAUGUUUUCUUCUUGCUCCUUCUGCCUCCUACCCAGCCCUGGUGCUUCCCCAUGUAGCCCUGCAUGGCACAGUGUACCCCCACCCCUUGCUAAGGAC